UAUGGUUAAAAUCCUUUGCUAAGACUCCAUUUACUCUGUGUAGCCUACAGACAAGGCAGGGAGCAUGUGUAAGGCGCCACUCUGGUGUCAGCACACUCACCGAUAUCCUGUCCUGGAACUCUGCUGUAGGGACCACAGGGAUAGUUCCACCAUGCUUUCCAAAUUUCCUCUCUAAGCUCUCUUGAACAGACACUGUAAGAAGCCAAGACAUCAGAAAAGAAUACAAACAAGGCAGAAGAAAUCUCUCCUUGGUGUCCUUGGCCCACACUGCAUGGUGAGACCCUGCACUUGCCUACUGGAGAUGUGUCAAAACCAGCCAAGAUAUGUCUAUGAGAUCUAUAAGGAAACUUGGUUCUGGAAGGGAAAGGACAACUACAUCCAGACAUUUUAUAAAGGCAGGAGCUUAAUUCAAGACCAUUACUUGUUAGGUGUUUCCACCAUAUACAGAAACACAUAGAGCAAUACAUACCAAUAAAACCCUUCUUUGCCAGCUCCA